rnacentral:tRNA from 1 species
GGCCCCGUAGCUUAGCCUGGUAGAGCGCUGGUCUUAUACACCAGUGGUCGUGGGUUCAAAGCCCAUCGGGGCCA